CAAGACCAGUCAAAGCCAAAUAAGUUCAUCAGAAAAACUGACUUGCCUCUGCUGUCGGUCUUCCAUGAGCUCCAACAACCAAAAGGUUCUUCUCCUUGUGCUAAGACUCGUUGUCUCCUCUGUCAACUGACUAAAAACAAUCCAGCUGGAUUCACCUGUGCUUGUCCAUAUUUUAAAGUACUGCUGCCUGAUGGGACAUGUAAAUAUCCUCAGUUUUUAUAUGGCACUGCAACAACAAUCAGCUUGUUGGAGUUUAAAGGCAGAGAGUCAUCUGAAACAGAACUGUUUUCUUCAGAAGAAGGAAUCCUGUCUUUUGAUGUCAACUGGUACAGAGAAUGGUUGUACUGGGCCAACCAAACUGGCCAUGUUCAAUGCACCAAGCUAACUCUGGACAAGACUGAAUUCAUUUCCACACCU